GUAAUACCUAGGACACUUUGGGUGCGAACACAUUCCCUCUGUGUAACUAACCCCCUUUCCUGUAAUUUAUGGCAUUUUAUUAGUUUUGAUUUGAAAACUUUUUAUCUUUGGGUUUUGUUCGUACUUUUCCCUUUUCCUUUGGAAACAAUAAAAGCGUGGUGGCGACUCUGGUUUUAUUGAUGUUAAGCUUAUCCAUAGCUUGAUAGUCAUGAAUUUACCGCUACAUUAUGGAAGCAACAAAUCUU
rnacentral:lncRNA from 1 species